GACAGGGGUGCCGGCCAUCAGCCGGCUGAGAUUGCGGCUUUGUCGCCGCGGACCCUUUGACCUGAUUUGGAUCAUGCCAACGUAGGGAGUGAUAGGAU
rnacentral:ncRNA from 1 species